rnacentral:rRNA from 1 species
AACGAACGCUGGCGGCAGGCUUAACACAUGCAAGUCGAACGCAUCGCAAGAUGAGUGGCAGACGGGUGAGUAACGCGUGGGAAUCUACCGAGCCCUGCGGAAUAGCUCCGGGAAACUGGAAUUAAUACCGCAUACGCCCUUUGGGGGAAAGAUUUAUCGGGGUUUGAUGAGCCCGCGUUGGAUUAGCUAGUUGGUGGGGUAAAGGCCUACCAAGGCGACGAUCCAUAGCUGGUCUGAGAGGAUGAUCAGCCACAUUGGGACUGAGACACGGCCCAAACUCCUACGGGGGGCAGCAGUGGGGAAUAUUGGACAAUGGGCGCAAGCCUGAUCCAGCCAUGCCGCGUGAGUGAUGAAGGUCUUAGGAUUGUAAAGCUCUUUCACCGAUGAAGAUAAUGACGGUAGUCGGAGAAGAAGCCCCGGCUAACUUCGUGCCAGCCGCCGCGGUAAUAC